rnacentral:rRNA from 1 species
AUUGAACGCUGGUGGCAGGCUUAACACAUGCAAGUCGAGCGGGGGAAGGUAGCUUGCUACCGGACCUAGCGGCGGACGGGUGAGUAAUGUCUGGGAAACUGCCUGAUGGAGGGGGAUAACCACUGGAAACGGUAGCUAAUACCGCAUAACGUCGCAAGACCAAAGAGGGGGACCUUCGGGCCUACUGCCAUCAGAUGUGCCCAGAUGGGAUUAGCUAGUAGGUGGGGUAACGGCUCACCUAGGCGACGAUCCCUAGCUGGUCUGAGAGGAUGACCAGCCACACUGGAACUGAGACACGGUCCAGACUCCUACGGGAGGCAGCAGUGGGGAAUAUUGCACAAUGGGCGCAAGCCUGAUGCAGCCAUGCCGCGUGUAUGAAGAAGGCCUUCGGGUUGUAAAGUACUUUCAGCGAGGAGGAAGGCAUUGUGGUUAAUAACCACAGUGAUUGACGUUACUCGCAGAAGAAGCACCGGCUAACUCCGUGCCAGCAGCCGCGGUAA